rnacentral:lncRNA from 1 species
CGGGGAGGGUCCAACUUGAGCAGGGCUGCGGGCUGCCAGACAGGUGCCUCUGGUUCCCAAUCCUCUCCUACUCUGCCCCCACCCGGGGUACGCAGCUCGCCCCAGGGCAGGAAGGCUGGCAUUAAAACCCACUCACUGGCUGGGAGGUAAGUGCAGGGGGGGUGGGUGACGACGCGGACCUGGCGAGGGACCACAGUAACAACUCACUGGACACAAACUUGGGGCUUGAAGCGAAUUGCCCUGGCGACCAAAUGAGGGAGGUGCUGCCUGCCGUUAUCCCCAUCUUACGGAUGGGGAAACUGAGAAACUGAAAGCUGGAAAUCGGUGCGUAGGGUCAGCCCGGCGGGGAGCGGGACUUAAAGCAGCCUGGCUCUGCAGAGGCUGCUCGUCACUCAGGACUCUCAGGGCCUCGGGGUGUUUUGGGAAACGGGACGUUGGGAGCCAGGUGGCAAGAGGCCCGGUUCCCGGGUGUGUCUGCCACAGGACAGCUCGGAGCCUGCCUGCCCUGCCCAGACUCUGCAGACCUCAGGCUGGGCCAGGGCCGGGGCCCGGCCGGCUCCUCAGGCGGCUCAGGGCGAGGCGUGGGCAAGGGAGAACCGGAGGCUGGGGCGGGCGUGGGGCACAGAGCAGAGACGAGUCAUCUGGCUGCAGCCCCAGGCCCAUCUUCUGCCCCCCACCUUGUUUCUGCCCCAGCCCCUGCCCCGGCCCCAGGCUCUGUCAGGCCCUAACAGCAUUAUUUCCUCCCUCCCCAGAUAGGCCUGCUCAGCAAGAAGAACCCCCCCAUCCCCUUCCUGGUCUGGCAUCAGCCCACCCUCCCCGCAUCCUCAGUGCCCGAGAUAAGCCCCCGUGCAUCGCCCGGCCCCCUCCCUGCCCCUGCCCCACUGCCACAAGCACCCACUGUCAAAACGUUGAUAGCAAGAGCUAACACGUCCUCUGACCCACCCUGUGCUGGGCACUGCCCGUGACCUUGCUGUGUGUUCACCCAUUUCACCGCCACCCCCCCCCCCCCCCGACCCCCCGA